GACGAACGCUGGCGGCGUGCUUAACACAUGCAAGUCGAACGGUAAGGCCCUUCGGGGUACACGAGUGGCGAACGGGUGAGUAACACGUGGGUGAUCUGCCCUGCACUUCGGGAUAAGCCUGGGAAACUGGGUCUAAUACCGGAUAGGACCCUGGGAUGCAUGUCCUGGGGUGGAAAGCUUUUGCGGUGUGGGAUGGGCCCGCGGCCUAUCAGCUUGUUGGUGGGGUGAUGGCCUACCAAGGCGACGACGGGUAGCCGGCCUGAGAGGGUGACCGGCCACACUGGGACGGAGAUACGGCCCAGAGUCCUACGGGAGGCAGCAGUGGGGAAUAUUGCACAAUGGGCGCAAGCCUGAUGCAGCGACGCCGCGUGAGGGAUGACGGCCUUCGGGUUGUAAACCUCUUUCAGCACCGACGAAGCGCAAGUGACGGUAGGUGCAGAAGAAGGACCGGUCAACUACGUGCCAGCCGCCGCAGUAA
rnacentral:rRNA from 1 species